GGGGAUUUGGCUCAGUGGUAGAGCGCUUGCCUAGGAAGCGCAAGGUCCUGGGUUCGGUCCCCAGCCCCCCCA
rnacentral:tRNA from 1 species